CCUUCCGGGGUACUCGAGUGGCGAACGGGUGAGUAACACGUGGGUGAUCUGCCCUGCACUUUGGGAUAAGCCUGGGAAACUGGGUCUAAUACCGAAUAGGACCGCAUGCUUCAUGGUGUGUGGUGGAAAGMUUUUGCGGUGUGGGAUGGGCCCGCGGCCUAUCAGCUUGUUGGUGAGGUAAUGGCUUACCAAGGCGACGACGGGUAGCCGGCCURAGAGGGUGACCGGCCACACUGGGACUGAGAUACGGCCCAGACUCCUACGGGAGGCAGCAGUGGGGAAUAUUGCACAAUGGGCGCAAGCCUGAUGCAGCGACGCCGCGUGAGGGAUGACGGCCUUCGGGUUGUAAACCUCUUUCGCCAGGGACGAAGCGCAAGUGACGGUACCUGGAGAAGAAGGACCGGCCAACUACGUGCCAGCAGCCGCGGUAAUACGUAGGGUCCGAGCGUUGUCCGGAAUUACUGGGCGUAAAGAGCUCGUAGGUGGUUUGUCGCGUUGUUCGUGAAAACUCACAGCUUAACUGUGGGCGUGCGGGCGAUACGGGCAGACUUGAGUACUGCAGGGGAGACUGGAAUUCCUGGUGUAGCGGUGGAAUGCGCA
rnacentral:rRNA from 1 species